rnacentral:lncRNA from 1 species
AGACGAGCCCAGGCCACAGAGCGCCUCCUCCUCGCCAAGAUGUUUGUGACCCACAGACUGAAAACGCGGCCAGGCGGUGCCCGAAACAUUCUCCCAGCCUCCAAAGAGGCCAGUUUGGCUUUAUUACACGGGAGAUGUAAUUUAUUGGGAGAAAUGUUUGGGUUCGUGUGUCGGAUGGUGGAGAGUCAGAUUUGGAGUUCCCUGGGGAUCUCCGAGGAGAAGGUGUGUUAAGGAAAUCACCAAGUCCCAGAGUGUAGACGAGCCCGAUCCCUUCGCAGCAGGUAAUCAACAGCCAGGCUGGAGAAAGCGUGUUUUCUUGAAGGAACCAAACCGAGAGAAUGUGAGGGCGGAGAGGGUCACCUCAAAGGAGAGAGCUGAAGUCGCAGCUGCCAACAGAAUUAGAAAAGUUCUAAAGCUGGGGAUUAAUGGUUUCUUUUUUAGCGCGACAGAAAUUAUUUUCAGAAGUUUAUUUUCAUACCAGCCACGUUUCCAUUUUAUGGGCUUGACCUUUAGCAGAAUAUCCCACAGGCAACGCGGGAGACAGUGGUGCUCAUGCUGUGAGUAUGAAAAGCUUCUCAGUGGAUCGAUUGGGGCAGGGCAACUCCAGGCACACGGGGAGAUGACUCCCAACGACCAGUGUGGAAAGUCUGGAUGCAGCCUCUCUUUCAAAGGCCAGUGAUUUGCACUGUUAGGAUUUUAGUAAGUGGGUCCAAGUGAGUGAGAGCUGAUUAUGUGCACAUGUCAUCUUACUGUAUACUGUUUAGCUGUACUACUUAUAAUGUCAAUAUUUUACCUUUCCCCCCCAAUCUACCCCCCCAAGGUCUUUUAUUAGUCCUAUGCUCUGAAUCUUGGAAGGGAACCCCAGGAAUAAUCAGUUUGUAAAACAAAUUUGAAAAAAACGAUCAUGACACAAGCAUCAGUAUUAAGAAUUGGAGAGAAAAAAAGGACUGUGGAGAAAUAUCCUGCUUGUACUGAGCAAAAACAUAAAACUGUUAUUCAUGGAAAGAAGGACAGACCCAUAAGAAACUAAUAUCCGGUCUGGGAUAUUUGCUUUUUCCUUUCCAAUAAAAGCGAUGAUUUUUUUUUUUGGGGGGGGGGUUAAUCAGGAACCUCCUGAGUCCUCUGGACCACGCCUCCAGCCGGGUGUCUGAGUGUGGUCCAGAGGCCACCACAGAGCUCUCAACUUGACUUUCUGGGUUAGACCCUGAAGCAUUGAGUAGCAAACAGACCCUUCAGGUCCCUGUGAAGGUACCUGGGCCACCUGGCUUCGUGCCAGGGGUUCCCAGAAAAUGGAAAGUGUGCUUGCAAACUAGCAACAGAGUGGCCACAUCUCUGUGACUGAGGCCUAGUGCAGGAUGCACAGAAGUUUCUGUGACAAAAGACCCUCAAGCAAGGCAGUAAGGAUGAGGCCAUUGUCACCUCCAGCCAUGGCUUCCUGGCUGUAGCCAUGCCCAAUUGUCCUCUCACAAGGUCUUCUGAGGGAUGUGGCCCUUGGGCUCACCAGGCUGGAAAAAACACUCCAUAGGCACAGCCGUGGGCUACAUCGAACAUCUGUGCCAUCCCACUGUGAGCAUGGAGCAGUACACAGCCAAUAAAAAUGAAUCUCUUAAGGCGCAUCCCCAAAGUUGUAUAACCUCCAGAUCCCACAAAGCCUGGAGCCACCCCUGGGGUUGCCGUUUAUGAGAGGGGACAUUAGGGAGAGUUUGCGGAGAAGAAAGGGAGCUAGACUGACUUUCUUGAUGUUUCUGGCUUAACGCCCAGGAGAAUUCAGGCAAAGCUGUCCAUUCGGUUGGUAACGACACAAGCAGGAGAAUAGGACGGAAAUCCAAUUCUUCUGCUCCCCGGGGUGUGACUCUCAUACUGCAUUGCACAGCUUUCAUUUCGUGAAGAACUUGUGGGUAACACAGACAGAAACAUGAGGGCUUGGGGCCACGUGGUAGGAAUUUUAUUUCCCCCAAAAAGACUUCCAAAAUAAGGAAGGAAAGACAAGCGUCCCCCCCACACCAUCCACAAUUUUGCUUUCUGUGGUUUCAGUUUGACCCAUGGUCAAUCAUAGUCUGAAAAUAUUCAAGUAGAAAAUUCCAGAAAUAAACAAACAAUUCGGAAGUUUAAAAUUGCAUGCCAUUCUGGGUAGCAUGAUGAAAUCGCAUGCACUCCUGCCUCAUCCCACGUGGGAUGUGAACUGUCUCUUUGUCCAGAGUAUCCAGCCCCCGAGUCUCUUAGUUGCUGCUGGGUUAUCAGGUCGACUGCCAUGGUUUCGCAGGGCUUGUGUUUAAGUCACUCUUACUUUACUUAAUAAUAGCCCCAGAGCACAGGGGUAGUGAUGCUGGCAACUCAGAUGAGCCAAAGAGAAGACAUAACAGUGUUUCCUCUAAGUGAAAGUUGAAAGUUCUAGGCUUAAGGAAAGAAAAAAAAUCAUAUGCUGAGGUGGCUAAGCUCUACCAGAAGAACAAAUCUCCUAUCCAUGAAAUUGUGAAGAAGGAAAAAGACAUUCGUACUGGGUUUGCUAUCUCACUUUCAACUGCAAAAGUUGGGACCACAGUGCCUGAUAAGUGCUUAGUUAAGAUGGAAAAGACAUUACAUUUGUACAAUAAGAUACGAUGUCACUUAUAUGUGGAAUCUUAAAAAAAAAAAGAUAACAUAAAAUGAAUGUAUUUGCAGGACUCACUUACUUGGAAAGCAAACAGUUUCAGUUACAGUUACCAAAGGGGACAGGUAGGGGGGUUGGGACUGGCAUGUGCACUCUGUGGUUUAUGGAACGACUGGCCAACAGGACCUGCUGUAUAGUGCGAGGACGUCUACCCAGUAUUCUGUGAUAAUCUAUUUGGGAAAAGAAUCUGAAAAGCAAUGGAUGUGUACAUGUUUAACAGAAUCACUUUGUUGUAAGCAGAAAUUAUCACACCAUUGUAAAUCAACUAUACUUCAAGUAAACUUUUUAAAAACGGAGAGAGACCACAUCCAUGUAACUUUAUCAUAGCAUAUCAUUACAAUUGUUCUAUUUCAUUAAUAGUUUCUGUUGUUAAUCUCUUAUUGUGCCUAAUUUAUAAAUUAAACUUUAUCAAAGGUAUGUAUAUAUAAGAAAAAACAUAGUAUAUAUAUAUGGCUUGUAUACUAUAUACAUUUUAUAUAUAUAUAUGAUAUAUAUAGUAUAUAUGUACAUGUGUACUAUAUAUAUACUAUACUAUUAUAUACUAGUAUACUAUUAUAUACUAUAGUAUACUAUUAUAUACUAUAGUAUACUAUUAUAUACUAUAUACUAGUACAUAUAUAUACUAUACUAUUAUAUACAUAUACUAGUAUACUAUAUACUAGUAUAUAUAUAGUAUAUAUCCACAGUUUCAGGCAUCCACUGAGUGUCUUUGACCGUAUCUUCCUCGGAUAAGGGGGGAACUACAGUAUCGACUAACUAUCGCAAAGCACAGACUGCAUACUGUUUUCAAAUGAUGGGGAGAUAUUUAUACUUUUCUCCUUGGACUCUCUUAUAAACAGAAGCAGAUGUUCACAAAGCAACUGACCAGGCCAGGUGUGUCCUUCAAGGCUACCUGCAUUCAACAGAGGUGACCACAGCCCAGACUCAUCCUUCCUGGGAGAGUUUCAAGAUGCUCCACAUAGUGGUGCCUAGCGCUCUGUGCACUCAGAGGCUAGAAGAAAAGAUACAGAGGUCCUCUUUCAAGGAGAGGCCCUGAUGUUUCUAUUCUUACAAGGAUUCUUUGGUAAUAAAUACAGUGAAAACACCGUCACCGUGGAGAUAAUACUUAAUGCUCAAGAGGUACGUAGCAGAGAUUGCAUUCCAAUCAAGGACUUCCGUAACCCUGUCUACCAAGCCAGUAUCACCUGUAGGCCAGUUCACCUCCAUCCAGUCACUUUACAGCACUUGAGUGUUUGCUGUCCGCUCAAUUAAAAUCCUACUCUGGUGGGAAAAACCAGAUUUCCAAAUGGGGACUUUAUUGAUUCAAUAAAAUUUAAGAAAUUCUGCUUAUGGAAAAACUCAUUAACCCAAACUAAUAAAUACGAGUUUACCCUGC